rnacentral:rRNA from 1 species
GGAUUCCCCUAGUAACUGCGAGUGAAGCGGGAAAAGCUCAAAUUUAAAAUCUGGCAGUCUCUGGCUGUCCGAGUUGUAAUCUAGAGAAGUAAUGCCCGUGCUGGACCGUGUAUAAGUCUCCUGGGAUGGGGCGUCAUAGAGGGUGAGAAUCCCGUCUUUGACACGGACUACCAGUGCAUUGUGGUAUGCUCUCAAAGAGUCGAGUUGUUUGGGAAUGCAGCUCAAAAUGGGUGGUAAAUUCCAUCUAAAGCUAAAUAUUGGCGAGAGACCGAUAGCGAACAAGUACCGUGAGGGAAAGAUGAAAAGAACUUUGGAAAGAGAGUUAAACAGUACGUGAAAUUGCUGAAAGGGAAACGCUUGAAGUCAGUCGCGUUGGCCGGGAAUCAGCCUUGCUUUUGCAUGGUGUACUUUCUGGUUGACGGGUCAGCAUCAAUUUCGAUCGCUGGAAAAAGGCCUGGGGAAUGUGGCAGCUUCGGCUGUGUUAUAGCCCCUAGUCGCAUACAGUGGUUGGGAUUGAGGAACUCAGCACGCCGCAAGGCCGGGUUUCGACCACGUUCGUGCUUAGGAUGCUGGCAUAAUGGCUUUAAGCGACCCGUCUUGAAACACGGACCAAGGAGUCUAACAUGCCUGCGAGUAUUUGGGUGGAAAACUCAAGUGCGUAAUGAAAGUGAAAGUUGAGAUCCCUGUCGUGGGGAGCAUCGACGCCCGGACCAGAACUUUUGGGACGGAUCCGCGGUGGAGCAUGUAUGUUGGGACCCGAAAGAUGGUGAACUAUGCCUGAAUAGGGUGAAGCCAGAGGAAACUCUGGUGGAGGCUCGUAGCGAUUCUGACGUGCAAAUCGAUCGUCAAAUUUGGGUAUAGGGGCGAAAGACUAAUCGAU